CCUACGGGUGGCAGCAGUGAGGAAUAUUGGUCAAUGGGCGCGAGUCUGAACCAGCCAUGCCGCGUGCAGGAAGACUGCUCUAUGGGUUGUAAACUUCUUUUUUACGGGAAUAAACGCAGAUACGUGUAUCUGUCUGAAAGUAUCUUACGAAUAAGGAUCGGCUAACUCCGUGCCAGCAGCCGCGGUAAUACGGAGGAUUCAAGCGUUAUCCGGAUUUAUUGGGUUUAAAGGGUGCGUAGGCGGUGUGAUAAGUUAGAUGUGAAAUUCUGAGGCUCAACUUCGGAAUUGCAUUUGAUACGGUCAGGCUAGAGAGGAGUUGAGGUAGGCGGAAUGCAUGGUGUAGCGGUGAAAUGCUUAGAGAUCAUACAGAACACCGAUUGCGAAGGCAGCUUACCAAGCUACUUCUGACGUUGAGGCACGAAAGCGUGGGGAGCAAACAGGAUUAGAUACCCCAGUAGUC
rnacentral:rRNA from 1 species